UAUAUUUGGCAAUAUUUAUCUUAAUUACUUGAAGAGGCAAUGAAUAAAGAAUAGAAGAAAUGCUUCAGAAGGUUCAGCGUGCAUGGAUGCACUAGUGUUUGCAAUUGUCUUCAGUUUAGAUCGGGGGGAAUGGUUUCCACUAGAUGUUUUUGCUGCUAUCUAACUUCUCUGCACCAGAGCCCCCCACUGCUUCAAUGUGGUUUGUGGGCUACGUAGGAAACCUCUCAGGAGAGGGGCCUAUCGCCAUGUAUAAUUGCAAAACAAAAUCUAAUGACAGAUGCAGUUUGGAUCGUCAGUGGCACCUGACACGAGAGUACAAGUUCCCUUGUCACUGAGGCACUUAUAAAGAUCUGAAUAAUUUUGAAUAUGAAUGUUGCUAAAAGUGGCUGAAUGACAUUUAGUAGGGAGCUGGGUAUUCACAUAGAUAUACAUGUGCACGGAAUACAAUCUGCAGUUGACAUUUAGAAUUAGACUAAGUUAUUUCAUGAAACAUGCUAAGAGUUCGGGAAAUUUGGCUGUGAGCAAUUAGCUUUGAUACUGGGGACUCAAUGCAUUUGUGGGUCAGACAGCGAGCUUUUUCAGUGAGACACACAGCUGCCUUCCCUGUUGUCUGCCACCUCCACGUUGAGAGAAAACCCAGCAAAGAUUCUUGGACCUGAUGCUGGGCUAAUUACUGAAGGUUAUUAAAUUUCAGUGAUCACUGGGUCAAAGGAAGCCCUCUUGGUCAGAGACUGCUGCUAGCUGGGUUCAACCAGUUUGUUACAUCUGAACUCCAGGCAGCAAGACGCAAAGCAUGAGGAGAAGGACGUUGCUUGCCUGAGGAAGGCAAUUAGAAGGAGACUUGCUAAUGGGGAAUUCAAAGGCAUGAACAUAUUUUCACAGGAGAGAAGAACACAGGAAUAGAUUUUCACACCAGUGAGAUACUUUACUAAAUGCUUACCAAGGGGAAGAGAAACUGUCUGCAGAGAAGAUGGAGAGAAAUACUGGGAUUUGGGGAAGCCGUAUGUGCAGGUGAAUCCAAAAUAUUCUCUGAGAACAGGAAGACACUGGGCCAUAUGAAUGCACAUAAAUUUUAUUUUGUCAUGAUCUUAACAUUUUUGGCAUUAGCUAAUGUAAAGGGUUAUGUGCUUUUUUUUUUUUUUCCCUCCCCAUCCUCAGCAAAGAUUAUGGAGUUCAGUUCAAUGUGUGCAGUUAAUAUGUGUGUUAGUGUCACUUGAGAUGAAUGAGGAAACUUGAGGGCAUUGUAUGCACUACUGGGGCCUUCAGCAUCCUGUCCACCUGCCCUUGCAGAUGACCUGGAUGCCACAGAGGUAACACCUCACGCCUGUAUUCAGGUUACCAAGUUGAGCCCCUGUUGUGCCUCAUGGAAGAGCAAGACUGGAAGUGUAGAAGCUGUGUUGGCUGAGACUUGGUGUGGAUGCAUGUCUGAGUGACGAGUGGGUCACCCAUGGCCUUUGGGAAGGGAAUUGAGGCAGCUGGGACUCUGAAUCCCCUCACUGGGGAGGAGACAGAGAGCUCCACAGAGCCAGCAAAGGCUGCAUGUGUACCCCUGCCCACUCAUUUAGAGGUGGUGAUGAGCACAGAGGUCUAAUUAAAAUGAGACUUGGCCACAGUGAGAUAGAGUCCUGCAAGUAGGGUUCUACAGGAUUUGUGAAAAAAUAUUCCAAGGAGAAGCUCCUGGAAAUACUGGUUAGCAUUUUUUGCUCCUUAGUGAGAGAUAGGGUACUUCUCUAUUUCAUCUACAUCCUUGGGGGAAGGAGAGGAGACUUAGAAACUCUUGUCUUGCUAUUACACUGCUCCAAAUUUUACACUUCAAUGGAAAUAAAGUUAAAAAAGGUGUUUCUGAAAAAUUUCACUUGCUUCUUGACAAACAGGAGAAAUCCUACCUCCUGAAAUACUGCUCUCCACAAAUACCGAGUGACUGUUCAAUUGUACUAAACUACAGUAAAUGAUGCAAAAAUUCAGUCUUAUUUUCACUUGAGGAUACAAAAUUAAAUUGUUUUGAUCUCUUACAUUCAGAUUUUUACCUUUAAAAUGAAUUAUUCAUCUCUUUGUCUAGUCCUACAUGUUCUUCUAGAAGUCCCAGGAAGUCUUUCUGUUGACUACACUGGUUUAUAAAAAAAGAUCAAACUUGCUUGCACAGAGAAAUGUUUGUGUAACUAUUUCAAACUUAAAGAUGAUGUUUAGGUUACUAAAAUACUUAAACUGAAGUCAAUACCUAUCCAGUUAAAGUUAGUAAAGCAGUAAUGUCUUUGUUCUGUUCAAACAAAUCCACUGCUUCUCAGUGAAAAUGAGGUCCGACCUCUUUGUAAAAUUUCUCUUUUCCUGAGUCUGUCACAGCAGCACUGGAGAACUUGGUGUGUCCAUAUCCCUCCUCUGGACAUUGGCAGCCCUGACUCUGCAGUCCAAUGAGGUGUUAAAGCCUUUGCAUUAUAAGGGCUUCAUGAACAACUGGAGCAUAGCUUCAUUACACUCCAGCCCAACUUUACCCCUUAGGAUGUUAAAUGGAAGUUUGUCUCUCGUUGCUGUGCAGAUAUAAACUAAAGAUCCCUCGGUUACUUUCUGUAACUUAUCUGACUUACCCGCAAUGUAUUGGAGAGUACUCUUGCUUCUGGCAAAGAGGUUGUAUUAUCCUAGGCUGCAUGUGAACAGCUGCACACAGGCCUGCCCAGGCUCCUACACAAGCACUCUCAAAACCUAAGCAAGCUGCAUCAAUGUUCCCCAAGUUCACUGCUGCACUGCUGGUGGGAGUUGGCAUCCACCUCCUGGAGCAGUAACUUCUCACCCUGUACAUCAAGUGACUACUUCCUAAAUCACAUGGGAGACUAGACUACGCCCUGGAAUGGAAAGUAAAAGUGAUCGUACCAUUAUCUAUGUUGCACAGCCAGAAACGUUGCUUGCAGCUAGAAUGAGUCGCAGUCUCGUUUGAUGAAGAAAAGCUCAACAUCAUUUAAUGAGGCAUACUGUGGUGUUGUUGCACUUCAAUGAGUACGAUAUUCCCAUGGUCCUAAAUGGUGGGGAACUGCAGGAACAACCAUGGAAGCUCCUACCCUUAGCAGAACCUCUGCCCAGACACUGCAGCAUUCUUCUGGAGCAAUCCUUAAAGUCAACGAGGAAGAUAAGCUGGUGGAGCUGCGAUUCCUAACGCUGAGCUUCUUGCCAAGUUUGUGGGAUGUGGUCCAGCAUCCCCUUCCUGAGCCUUGGGGAGAUCUGGCAGUCCUGCUACUGCCCUGUCCUGUCUGGGUGCAGAGCAGGCAGACGUGGCCUUCCCUCCAUGCAGUUGUGCUCUAAAGGUUCAGCCCAACACAGGAUGGUGUAAUCACACACCCAUGUUCCUGUGCCUUCCCCAGGACUGGGAUUCAUGUGGAUUAACUUGAUGGCAUCAGUAGAGUUAUUCUGGUACGACUGAGGGCUAAUCACAGCCCAGUAUUUGUGAGUCUCUAUAGACAAAUAAAAUAAUACAUUUUCAUUGCUAA